CAGCAGCCGCGGGAAUACAGAGGAUGCAAGCGUUAUCCGAAAUGAUUGGGCGUAAAGCGUGCGCAGGCGGUCCGCUAAGACAGAUGUGAAAUCCCCGGGCUUAACCUGGGAACUGCAUUUGUGACUGGCGGGCUAGAGUAUGGCAGAGGGGGGUAGAAUUCCACGUGUAGCAGUGAAAUGCGUAGAGAUGUGGAGGAAUACCGAUGGCGAAGGCAGCCCCCUGGGCCAAUACUGACGCUCAUGCACGAAAGCGUGGGGAGCAAACAGGAUUAGAUACCCCGGUAGUCCCUGUCUCUUAUAC
rnacentral:rRNA from 1 species